GAUGAACGCUGGCGGCGUGCCUAAUACAUGCAAGUCGAGCGAACAGACCAGGAGCUUGCUCCUCUGACGUUAGCGGCGGACGGGUGAGUAACACGUGGAUCACCUACCUAUAAUACUGGUAUAACUUCGGGAAACCGGAGCUAAUACCGGAUAAUAUCUUGAACCGCAUGGUUCAAUAGUGAAAGACGGUUUUUCUGUCACUUCUAGAUGGAUCUCGGCCGCAUUAGCUAGUUGGGAAGGUAACGGCCUACCAAGGCAACGAUGCGUAGCCGACCUGAGAGGGUGGUAGGCCACACUGGAGCGUGGACACGGUCCAGACGCCUACGGGAGGCAGCAGUAGGGAAUGGGACGCAGUGGGCGAGAACCUGACGCAGUAGGCCCGCGUCAGAGAUGAAGGUCUUCGGAGCGUGAUGCUCGGUUAUUAGGUGAAAACCAAUGUGUACGUAAAUGUGCACGUAUUGACGGUAACGAGUCAAGAAGCAACGGCUAACUACGUG
rnacentral:rRNA from 1 species